CGGGGGGGGCAAGCGUUGUUCGGAAUUACUGGGCGUAAAGGGUGCGUAGGCGGCUUUCUAAGUUGGAUGUGAAAACUCUGGGCUCAACCCAGAGCCUGCAUCCAAAACUGGAGAGCUUGGGUUCUGGAGGGGAAAGCGGAAUUCCUGGUGUAGCGGUGAAAUGCGUAGAUAUCAGGAGGAACACCGGUGGCGAAGGCGGCUUUCUGGACAGAUACCGACGCUGAGGCACGAAAGCUAGGGGAGCAAACAGGAUUAGAUACCCUGGUAGUCCUAGCCCUAAACGAUGGAUACUUGCUGUGGGGGGGAUUGAAACCCUUUGUGGCGAAGCUAACGCAUUAAGUAUCCCGCCUGGGGAGUACGGUCGCAAGGCUG
rnacentral:rRNA from 1 species